CCCUAGGAGACAAUCUGGAAGGAAGUUCAAUCAUGAAGAAGUCUAAGGGAGGAUCCUGCCUAGUGGAGGAUACAGCAGAAAAUACAUGGUGAAGAGACCAUCUAGCCUUGAAGAUAAUUUUGCAGAGGUGCGUAGGUGAGAGUUACAUUUAUAUUAGAUAAGACCCUGAUGGGUGGUGCAUAGGAGGAGGACCAUUCAUUCCAGAAGAAAACCCAGCAACUAGUGCAUUUUUCAGGAGACAACCAUCCUGAGAAUUCAUGGAAAAUGCAUCAGGCCUAUAGGGUAAAGGAGAGUGUGCAUAUGGUAGAAGAAAGUAUUGAUCCAAGUUGAAUCCUAGUAGAUGGUGCAUGGUAGGAGGUUUCUGCCUCCCUUCAUGUGUGGAUGGUGCAUGGAUGAACUGGUUCCUUCAGUCCAUGGGGGGAAUAUUAGGAUGUGCAUUGGUGGAGGAUGCAAUCAGGCUCUGAUGGGACCUGUCUUUAAGUGUUUUUUUUGUUUGUUUUAUUUGUUUGUUUGUUGUUUUUCGAGAGAGCAUCCAGGCUACAGGAGGUCUCAACAGGAUGUGCAAAGCUGUAGUGUACAUCCAAUCUAAGGGAGAACCCAGCAAUACGUUCAUAGGUGGCAGUAGAAUAUUACCUAAGGGAAGAAUAACAGGAAAUGCAUCAGUGGAAGUUUGAGGUAGAGAAAGGGAAGUUAUGGCAAGAAGUGCAUGGGUGGAGGGUACAGUGAACCUGGCAGAUAAUUUGACAGGAAGUACAUGGCUUGGUAGGGAUGCUACUGCGUGUGUGUGUGUGUGUGUGUGUGUGUGUGUGUGUGUGUGUGUGUAUUGGGGAGGGCAGGGGCUCAACAUACGAUAAAAAGUUGAAAAGAAAAAUAGUCAUUCAAGAGGACAGUGUGGCAAGAAUUACAUGGUUAGAAGGAACAUGCAACCUAUGGAAGGAUUGGCAAGGGGUUCAUGGUUAAAAAAACAUUCACAGCAGGGGAAGUCCUGGUUGGUGGUGCCUGGACACAGUGUGCAGCCAGCCUACAGAUGGUUACAAGGAGCACAUUGGUGGGGUGUACAGCUAGUCUAGGGGGAUAGAAAUGGGAGAAAUUACAUGAAUUAAUGGUCCUCAAAGCUCAGAGGAGGACCCAUUAGGUAGUUCGUGGAUAUAGGUAAUCCAACCUAGGGGAUGAUAUGGCAGGAGAGAUAUGGUUGGAAGGUACAACCAGCCUAGCAGAUGAUAAAAAUGAAAUGUAUGGAAGGAGAAAGCAUCCAGCCCAUGAUGUCCCUAAAGGAAGUAGAUGGGAGUAAGGAGUAUCUAGCCUAAGUGAAGUUGUGGCAAUAGGUAUAUGGUGGAGAGUGCAGCCAGUCUAGAUAAGGACCAAGCAAGAAGUGCAGGUGGAGAAAGCCUUAGACCUAGAAUUGGACUGGAAGAAGGUGAACAUUGGGAAGGCAUAUUCAGUCAAAGAGGAGAACUGGCAGGUGGAGCAUGGGUACAGGGUGCAACCAUCCUUGGGGAGUUCGUUGGGAAUGAUGCAUUGGUGCAAGGCAUAGUGAGCCAAGGGAAAGACAUAGUAGGAAGUGAAUAAGUGGGAAGAAUUGUCAGCCUAAUAGAGAGCUUGGAGGAAGAUUCGAUGUUGGAAGGUACAGUCAGCUUACUGGAAGAUUUAGCAGGAAGUUCACUGGCAGAAAGUUUAAUAACCCUGGUGGAGGUUCACACAGGAGUUGCAUGGAAGAGGAUUCAUCCAUCCUAAGGGAAGACCAACUGGGAUGUGCAUAGGUGGAAACAGACCUAGAAGAGGACCAACAAGAAGUACAUGGGAGGAGGGAUCAUUCAACCAAGAUGAGUCAGAGCAGUUGGUAUAUGGGUGCAGAUUGCUGGAAGCCUAUGUGAGUACAUAUUAGGAUGUGAGUUGGGGUAGGAUUCAGCCAGGUAACAUGAUGACACAAUUGAAAGUGCUUGGUUGUAGAACACAGCCAGGCUAGGGGAGAAAAGGUGGAUUGUGCAACCAGGCUUGGGAGACACCCAGCAGUAUAUGUAUAGCUGGAGGGACAUCCUGCCCAGAGGAAAAACUACAAAACAUACAUGAGUGGAGGUUGCAGCCAGCCUGCGAUGAUAUGACAUGAAGUGCAUUGGUGAAGGGAACAUCCAGAUUAAUGGAGAACUUGGCGGGAGUUGCAUGGGUAGAGCGUGUAGUGAGCCUAAGGGACAAUCCAUAAGGAAGUGUAUGGACAGGAGGAAAAUCUAUCCUAGGGAAGCACUUGGCAGAUAAUUCAUAAUAGAAGAUGCAUCCAGCCUAGGGGAGAACAUUGCAGGAGGUGCAGAGUUACACAGUACAAGUAGUAUAGGGGAACUUCAGACAAAGUGCAUUAGAGAAGAUCCAGUUAGCUUAGGGUUGGAUGUAAUAGUGGGUGCAUGGAAUCAAGGUGCAGCUAGCCUAGGGAAGGACAUAACAGAAUGUGCCUUCAUGCAAUAUGCAGCCAGUCUUGGGAAGAACCUGACAAGAAAUAAAAGGGUGGAGAGACCAGGCAGCCUAGGAUAGGUUUUUGGAGAAGGUGCAAAGUUGAAGGUUACCUUCAAUUUAUAGGAGGACUCAGUAGUACGUGCAUAAUUGAAAGGAAUAUCUUUCCUA
rnacentral:lncRNA from 1 species